UCUCUAGGCACACCAGAGGUGACCUUCUCAAGGUCACUCACAAUGUGUGUUUUACAUCCCCCUGCUGGGGUGCUCUUAGGACCCUGCAUUGGUGACCAGUGUUGAGGGAGCCACUCCCCGACUCUCCUGGCCAAUCAGCCUCCCUCGUGCAGGUUGCUAGGCAACAGGAGGGAAGCCAGGAUAGCAGCUCUAAAUAUUUCAGAAGAUGGAGGGAGAGAGAUUUUAGCUGCAUCCUGACAGAGGGAUAAGGGACAAGAGUCACUUUAGGAAUUAAGAAUCCAGUCUUCCAGCAGGGAUAGUUCAUUGGGGAAGAACCCGCAAAGUCCCUUUCCCGAGCCUGGGGGACAGUGACCGCCUGACGCUGCUGGAGAGGGAAUUUCAAAAAUCUAGACCUAUGUUGUCUGAUACGGUGGCAUCUAACUACAUGCGGCUAUUCAAAUCUAAGUGAAUGAAAGUGAAGCAUAUCCCAAGGACCCUGGUCUCAUCACUCAGGUGGCUUUGGCUGCAAGGAUGGGAAAAGAACAUGGACAACAGGCCCAUCACUGCAGAAAAUUUUACCAGACAGUGCUGCUCUGAACCCAAGUGUACCCAAGGUUUACUGGAUCCACCAGAAUUAGGAUUCCAAUCCUUCCAAAGAUUCCUCCACCUCAGGGAAAGACAAGAGAGGUAGUGAAGGCACCAGAAACAUGAUGAGCACAUAUGGAGAUCCCUUAGCUCUCUGUGACAGACACAGAAUUGGAAGCAGGUCAGACCAAUGGAUGACAGACAGAAGCUGAGGUCUGAGGAGACACAGUCCCUCUACUGUGGGGCCACUCAAGGCAGAAAAGCCUCUCAAACCUGCCUUGGCUCUCUGUCCUGGUAAAGAAGCAUGGUGUGAGCCGUGACGUCAUGGUGGCAAUGAGCUGCCUGGCUCAAAAUCGUCUUCAGCCUCUCCCAGCACCUCUGAAGUAAGCAGAAGGAUGAUUGCUUGUGCCUUUCAGGAGCUAACGGGAAGAAGCCAUUGAGGAAGCACACCCACAAGCCAUUUACCUCUUAGGAUUUCUGUUGUGGUGAUGAAACACCAUGACCAAAGCAACUUGGGGGGGAAAAGAUAAAUUUGGUUUACACAUCACAGUCCAUUGUGGAAAGCCAUGGCGGGAACCCAAACAGGGCAGGAACCUGGAGGCAGGAGCAGACGCAGAGGCCAUCAAGGCUCUGGCUUACUCAGCCUGCUUAUUCUUAUAGCAUCCAGGGCCACCCGUCCAGAGGUGUCACCACCCACAAUGAGCUGAACCACCCCCUCUAUCAAUCACUAAAGAAAAUGCCUACAGCCAGAUCGUAUGGAGGCAUUUUCUCCAUUGAGGGUCCCUCCUUUCAGAUGACUCUAGCUUGUGUCAAGUUGACAUAAACCUACACAGCACAACUGACCUCUUGUCAACCUCACAAACACACACAUCACCAUAACCUUUCCUUUCUUGUUCAUCCCCAGAACCACACAUUAAUAUAAACAGCACAAUAUAAAUAUUCAAAAUUUAAAAGUCACACAGUCUUUAAAAACUCACUUAAAAAGUCAGCUUCUUUAAAAUACUCACUCUCUUUUAAAAUUUAGAAGUUCAAGUCUCUUAAUGGUGGGCUCCUGUAAAAUAAAAAACAAAUACUUUCUUUCUUCACGAGGGAAGAAUCAGGGCACGGACACAGUCUGAACAGAGCAAAACCAAACUCCAACAGUGUAAACAAUUCACUGUCUAAUGUGUGGGAUCCACUCACGAUCUGGGCUCCUCCAGCCUCUGCGACACGCCCAAGCUGGUCUUCUAGGUCUACUCCACACCUGCUGCUGUUCUUGGCAGUCAUCCUACGGUACCGGCAUCUCCAAAAUGCUGAGGUCUUCUGUCACAGCUGUCUCCGCUCUUUCCAAGAGAGCCUCUCCUGAACUCCCCUCAGGGUCUCCAGUCCUGCCGCACAGGGCCGAGCCUCAGCUGCUCUCCAUAACCUCUUCAGGCCUCCAAAUCCAGUACUACCUGUGUGAUUCUUACACUACCAAGUUUGGCCACCAGCACGAAGUACAACCUUGGUGGCCUCUGGAACAUAGCUCCCUGUGUGCUGACCCUGAGGAAAUGCUUCCCCAAAGAUUUCACCUCCAUGAUGCCGGUCUCUUAAUCCCUGCCAAUUUUUCAGCUCCAGUGAACCAGCAUCAAUUGUCCCAGUAAGGCAAAGGUUUUAUUUCAGUGUUUCUGGUAUCUUGUUAAUCACAGAUGAUUCUUAAGCCUCUGCUAAGCAGAACCAUAGAUUCUUAACUUCAAAUAGCAGCAAAUGGUCCUGAUAGAGUCAUUAAGGGACCUUCAAACUUCUCUCUGAAAAUUUCACAAACCAGACCUCCAUCGUCCCCAUUGCUUUCAACAUUCUCAUCAUCCACGCUCCCACAGAAAGGCUCACCGAGCUCUGAACACUCAGAACUUUGGAGCCCAAAGUUCCAAAGUCCUUUCUAAAACACACGGUCACGUCUGUCACAGACAGACAUACCCCACGAUCUUGGUACCAAUUUCUGUCUUAGUUAGGGUUACUAUUGCUGUGGUGAAACACCACGACCAAAACAGCUUGGGGAGGAAAGGGUUGAUUGGCUUAUGCUUCCACAGCACUGCUCAUUACUGAAGUCAGGGCAGGAACUCAGACAAAGCGGGAACCUGGAGGCAGGAGCUGAUGCAGAGGCCAUGGAGGACUGCUGCUCACUGGCUUGCUUGCUUGCUCAUCAUGGCUUGCUCAGCUUGCUUUCUUACAGGGACAGUACCACUCACAACGGGCUGGACCUUCCUCAAUCAAUCACUAACUAAGAAAACGCACUCCAUCCAGAUCUGACGGAGUCAAUUUUCCCAACUGAGGUUCCAUCCUUUCAGAUGACUCUAGCUGGUGUCAAGUUGAUAUAAAACGAGACAGUACUGAACUACAUCUUCUCUGCCUCCAUUCUGUUGAGCAACACCCAAACACCUGGAAACUCAUAUAUACCACCACCACCCCACCCAACCCCCCAGAAAGAAGGAAGGGGGACUGAAGUUUGAAAUGUCUGCAGUUUGGUUUUUGUGGAAAGUGGACGUGAGGGAAACAUUUUUAUAAACUAAGCCACCUUUCCUGGAGACUGACGCUUGCAGACUGAGUUUAUGUCCACUAUAUAUUUCUUCAAUUUGUCUUGCACGAAAAUGUUCUUACUGCUGAACACAGUGAAAAAGCAAAAGCUCAAUGAAACUCAACCUCAAUUUCUCCAUCUACAAGCCCAUUACUGGAUAGGAUAGGUUUGGGAUAGCAGGAAAAUGCAAGGAGAAACAGGGUACGGAGAUAUCAGGGUCCUGAAGGAAGUGCCGUGAUACCUUUCCCAAGGCGAACAAGAAGCCAAGCCAAUAAAAAAUAAAAAAAAGAGAGAGUGUGCUCUCUGCUUCAGCAUCUAGUGCAAUAAAGAAGACACCCACCCCAGUUUACAGCCCUGCUUUGUUCCAUUAGAAAAGGGUAUUAUGCAGAAGCAAAGAACAAACAUUUCUCCACUUGGCAGAUCCCUGAGCCAGUAACUUAGUCCAAGGUUUGGGGCGUGGUAAAGAACAUGAACACAACAGAAGUAUUUAGCAAUGGGCCAAUAUGAGUAUGGUCAUUCUCCCCCUUGGAGUGGGGAUGGUCAUUGGGAAUGCACACGAUAACAGCGGUCAUCAGGCAUCAUCCACGUGACUUGUCUAGGAAACAACAGAACUGGCAUUUAGCAGGGACGCUGUGUCUUCUAAUAUAGUAUGCUGCCCCCAUGCUGUGUGUGGAUGGAUACAAAUUCUCUAACAUUAAAACAGAGAGCUGUCAAUCAAAAGCCUCUUAACAGGCAGUGAGCUGGAUAUGUGUUUUUUACUUGCUGGAAGCUGUCAAAAUGUCUUUGAGACUUAAGGUUGACUAGUCCAGGAUCCUACUUGGACUCCCGCGGCAUCCCUGGUUCCCGAAGAGCAACAGUGUACAGGACACAGCUAGUUCAUCAAAAUAUGGGAUGAACACAGGCGUGUGGGCAGCAAUGCUCGUUGGCAGGAAUGGAGUGUGACACAAACAGCCUGGGCUCCGUGUCCUGCGGGAGCUAUCGUUUUCUCCAGAGCAAACCGUGAACUACCAGGAACAAACCAACCCCUUUAAAGAAGGCGAUAAAGGAAAGUAAUGAGGGGAAGAGAGAAAAUAAGGCAGAGACAGGAAGGAGAGGUAUAAAUCCAAGACAGAGACUUGGCUUGAAGCUGCUCCAGCCCAUGUAUUGCAGUAUCCGCCCAGAGCCACUGACUGGACAAAGAUUUGACUCCUAAAGUCUCCAGACACAUCUAAGCCUCACAAUGUGGAGGCCAGAUUGUGAGACCCAAUGACUACGCACUGGGGCACUGCUCAUUGGAGCCGCUACAUCACCGAAGUCCAAACGGAAGUGCAGAUCAGGAUGGAGCAUUGGACGUUUCCAGAAACAAUCUGUUCUUUUUGGCUAAUAAGUAGAAGGGACUCUUCUAUGUAAGGUUCUAGAACACUGGAGAAUUAAGUUUUUUUUGUUUUUUUAAACUAUCUUGAAUCUAUUUGGAAUCUUGAAAUUACUACUUUAAGGAAAGUGUGUGUGGAAGGGUGAAUUCAUAAAUACUUCUAGAACCACCACAACCACCACAAAAGGGCAACUUAGGCCCCCCGUGUUCCGGGAUCACCUUGGAAGGUAAUUUUUGACUGACCAUCUCAUUCUAACAGCCCCCCCUUUGUGAGAGUUUGUGCAGACGAGACUAAAUCAGCCGGGUGUAGACAAGCUACACUCAGAACCAUUCCCGGAGAACAGAAGGCGCAUUCUUUCACACUCUUCCCUUUCUCUGAUCUUUUUCACUCGCGAGUUCCUUUUCUGGGACGGAUUGUGGGAAGCCGCAGAGUCUCAGCCCAUUGCUGGAAGAGCCCUGGCAUAUGGAGACCUGGAUGCCUCUGCCGUGCAGAAUGCAAGAGGGGUUGAAAUCAAGCACUCCUUGGUAGAGGGAGAAGCACAGACGUCUGGGGGCCUCCCAGAGUCACAGUAUGCAAAUAAUUAAACAAAUGGUUUCACAGAAA